rfam:Drosophila grimshawi strain TSC#15287-2541.00 scaffold_15245 genomic scaffold, whole genome shotgun sequence.
ACUCGAUGAUGAACACCUUAUUUAAGCCAAACAGUUAUCCCUGUCAUAAACAAAUAAUUGAUGAUACAAAAAGCUGAUACGAAA